rnacentral:rRNA from 1 species
CUAAUACAUGCAAGUUGAGCGAUGAAGAUUGGUGCUUGCACCAAUUUGAAGAGCAGCGAACGGGUGAGUAACGCGUGGGGAAUCUGCCUUUGAGCGGGGGACAACAUUUGGAAACGAAUGCUAAUACCGCAUAACAACUUUAAACAUAAGUUUUAAGUUUGAAAGAUGCAAUUGCAUCACUCAAAGAUGAUCCCGCGUUGUAUUAGCUAGUUGGUGAGGUAAAGGCUCACCAAGGCGAUGAUACAUAGCCGACCUGAGAGGGUGAUCGGCCACAUUGGGACUGAGACACGGCCCAAACUCCUACGGGAGGCAGCAGUAGGGAAUCUUCGGCAAUGGACGAAAGUCUGACCGAGCAACGCCGCGUGAGUGAAGAAGGUUUUCGGAUCGUAAAACUCUGUUGGUAGAGAAGAACGUUGGUGAGAGUGGAAAGCUCAUCAAGUGACGGUAACUACCCAGAAAGGGACGGCUAACUACGUGCCAGCAGCCGCGGUAAUACGUAGGUCCCGAGCGUUGUCCGGAUUUAUUGGGCGUAAAGCGAGCGCAGGUGGUUUAUUAAGUCUGGUGUAAAAGGCAGUGGCUCAACCAUUGUAUGCAUUGGAAACUGGUAGACUUGAGUGCAGGAGAGGAGAGUGGAAUUCCAUGUGUAGCGGUGAAAUGCGUAGAUAUAUGGAGGAACACCGGUGGCGAAAGCGGCUCUCUGGCCUGUAACUGACACUGAGGCUCGAAAGCGUG